rnacentral:rRNA from 1 species
GACGAACGCUGGCGGCGUGCUUAACACAUGCAAGUCGAACGGAAAGGCCUCUUUCGGGGGGUACUCGAGUGGCGAACGGGUGAGUAACACGUGAGUAACCUGCCCUUGACUUUGGGAUAACUUCAGGAAACUGGGGCUAAUACCGGAUAGGAGCUCCUGCUGCAUGGUGGGGGUUGGAAAGUUUCGGCGGUUGGGGAUGGACUCGCGGCUUAUCAGCUUGUGGGUGGGGUAGUGGCUUACCAAGGCUUUGACGGGUAGCCGGCCUGAGAGGGUGACCGGGCACACGGGAACUGAGACACCGACCAGACUCCUACGGGAGGCGGCAGUGGGGAAGAUUGGACAAGGGGGGGAAGGCUGAUCCAGCCAUGGCGGGUGGGUGAAGAAGGCCUGCGGGUGGUAAUGCCGGUUUGGGGGGAAAGAAAAGCAGCAGGUUAAGACCCCGCGGGUCUGACGGUACCCAAAGAAGAAGCACCGGCUAACUUCGUG